rnacentral:rRNA from 1 species
GACGAACGCUGGCGGCGUGCUUAACACAUGCAAGUCGAGCGGUAAGGCCCUUUCGGGGGUACACGAGCGGCGAACGGGUGAGUAACACGUGGGUGACCUGCCCUCAGCUCUGGGAUAAGCCUGGGAAACCGGGUCUAAUACUGGAUAUGACUCCAUGACGCAUGUUGUGGGGUGGAAAGCCUUGUGCGGCUGAGGAUGGGGCCCGCGGCCUAUCAGCUUGUUGGUGGGGUGAGGCCUACCAAGGCGACGACGGGUAGCCGGCCUGAGAGGGCGACCGGCCACACUGGGACUGAGACACGGCCCAGACUCCUACGGGAGGCAGCAGUGGGGAAUCUUGCGCAAUGGGCGAAAGCCUGACGCAGCGACGCCGCGUGAGGGAUGACGGCCUGGU